GCCUGACCUUGGUGGCGGAUGGCCAGGCUGGCCCUCUCUCCCUACCACAAGUUAGGGUUACGAAUCAAAAACUGUUGCCCUUAGGAUAAUUUAACUUUGCCCUCAUAGACAUUCCCCAAGGUCACUUCUGUGACUGACUUCUGUUUUAUUGCUGGGAUUGAGAAGAUUGGAGGGGCUUUUUGAGAUGGCUGUGUCUGAUAGUCAUUCCUGAUUCUGCAUUCAUGCCGUUGCCAGGUCAGGAAGGGAAACUGAGACCCAAAGGGAAGCAUGUUCCAUGUGAAGCCUCAGCCAGAAGAGGUGAAAGGGCAAAGAAGCCAUGAGGACCUGCUGACGUGGGUGCCUAGCUUGGAGGACUGCCAGCUAGGGUGGAGCCAGUCCCAGGGGACCCUGGACUUCUGGGAAGUCACCGGGAGUUUGGCCAACCCUGUCCCCCUGCAGCAGGGCGGCAUCGUGCCUAGUUUGGCUUUGCAAGGGAGAAGGUAAAAAGAAUUACCCAUUGCUGCUGCCUCGAGUCUCUGGUUGGGAGGGUCUCUGUUAUUCCUUCUGGGUACCAACACACACAGGGGCUACUCUCUGGGACUGAUUCUUUUGGUACCCUCUGUCAGUACCUGUUGGGCCAAAUAGCCAGAAGUCAUAUCUUGAGCAUAGGCUCUAGUGGUCACCUCUCUGAACAUUCACUAAGUCUGACCCCGUCUCCUCCUCUCCCCAUCUCCUCUCCCCAGCUCCUCCUCUCCCCAGCUCCUCCACUCCCCAUCUCAUCUCCUCCUCUCCCCAUCUCCUCUUCUCCCUGCCUCCCAUCCUGAUGUUAAUAAAGGUUCUUAGUAAUCAUUUGAUGAGGUUCUUGGGUUGCAUGGAUAAGCCAUAGAGGAGCAAAAAGGGAAACCAGCCUGUUCAAGACCUCCAGCUGGUUCACAUAGCCGAAAUCGCUGAGACUCUAUGGGAAGAACGGCUCUCGGAAAAGCUGCCCAUACACACAGAGCUGCCCAUACACACAGGCCUGGGAGGCAGGG